rnacentral:lncRNA from 1 species
AUGGCUCCAUUCUUCCCUAGAGAGGCUGCAGGAAAGGGAAUGAACGUCGCUUGGGCAGGAUUUGUAUUCAGUUUUUAUGCUUUUGUAAUGUUCCUCAUGUCUCCUGUUUGUGGGAAAAUCCUGCCUCACACAGGAGCAAAGUUCCUUUUUUGUCAGGAGUUUUCAUUGCAGGAUGGUGCAAUAUUUUAUUCGGAGCUCUACCUCAAAUACAGAAUGACACAAUGUUUGCAAUAUUCUGCUUUGUCGUCCGAGGAUUUGAGGCAUUAGGAGCAAGUGCAUUCACCACGGCCAGUUUCGUGUUCGUCACUCACUUAUUUCCCGAAAAUAUCGGCACUGUUCUGGUGAGGUGUGAUUUUAAUUUCAUUCGCGAAAACGAUUUUAAAAAAAUUAUGAAAAAGGGUAUAAGUUUAAAUUGAAUUGUACCAUGCAUUAUCCUCUCUUCUAUUGUUUUGUAUUAUUUAUUUUGCGGACCGCUUGCAAGGAGCAUUACAUGUAAGAGCUCUUGAUCCGAGGACCAACACGCUGCCGUUUAAAGAAAAACGUCGUAACAAGAUUCAAGUUAGGUGAAUUCUUUCUAACAAAGUGCUCUCCUGUAGAAUAUCCUGCGAAUGCUAAUUUUGUGUGUGUGUGAUAGUUCACACAAGACAGAUCACGCACCAGUUUUUUUUUUGUGGAAUAGCUUGAUUUCGAAGAAAACCUCGAUUUUCCAGAAAAUCGAGGGGUUGGAGAGAGGGAAGAAGAUAUAAAGGGAAAAAGAUUGAGGUCAUAUUUUGACUGUGCGGUAAAAAUUACGUAAUAUUCUACCAACGAUUGUGUUUUUUUUUUAGGUGCAGACUUGUGCUGAUGUCUAGGGAUAAAAGAAUGAAAGGCAGGUGAUGAAAGGAAAUGAGAUAAUUCUUAUUUCGGGUUUAAAUCAUGAGACACCCGUAUCGAUGGCUAACUAGCGUCGAGCAAACUGCGCACAUCCAAUUUUGAGGUUGCGAAUCCGCUCAUUAUUAUUACUCUAUACAGGGUGUCCCAAAAGUCCGUACCCCCCCUCGUAACUUUUGAACGGUUAAAGAUAGAAAAACGAAACUUUGGGAAUGUUCCUAUCUUAAAGGGGACCAUCUUCUAAGGGGGUCAAAAUUUUUGUCCCCCCCUCAGGGGGGGCGCGGGGGCCCCCAACUUUUUUUUUCAAAUGGUAACCCCUAUCUUGUGAUACUUCAUUCGAAAGAACAUAAAAAACUAAGAAUUUUAACGCAAACCGCAGAUCAAUAUCUUAAUUUUUGACUGAGUUAUGAUAGGUCAAAGGUCAAAUUUGACCUAUUUUCAAAAAAUCAUAACUCCGGUUCAAAUUAUCGUAAACAAAAAAAUAAAACGGGAAAAUUUACCAAAUUGUAAGCAUUUUUAAGUAAAAAUCACAGAAAUUACUUCAAACUAAUUUUAAGGGGGAUUUCGGACCCCCAAAUACGUCAUUUUAAAGGUCAUACGAUUUUCCCGCGAAAUGAGCCAAUUUCCCCUUACUUUGCGUCAACAUUAUCUUAGUAAGUUCAAAAUUAGUUCAACAUUGCAUUCAAUUUCGAACAAAGUUUUUUAAAAAAACGAAAUUUAAAUGGUUGAAUUGAAUCACCUUAAAUUUCACUUUUUGAACUUUUCCCGAAAUUUGGGGACUUGAAAAUGCAAUGUUGAACUAAUUUUGAACUUACUAAGAUAAUGUUGACGCAAAGUAAGGGGAAAUUGGCUCAUUUCGCGGGAAAAUCGUAUGACCUUUAAAAUGACGUAUUUGGGGGUCCGAAAUCCCCCUUAAAAUUAGUUUGAAGUAAUUUCUGUGAUUUUUACUUAAAAGUGCUUACAAUUUGGUAAAUUUUCCCGUUUUAUUUUUUUGUUUACGAUAAUUUGAACCGGAGUUAUGAUUUUUUGAAAAUAGGUCAAAUUUGACCUUUGACCUAUCAUAACUCAGUCAAAAAUUAAGAUAUUGAUCUGCGGUUUGCGUUAAAAUUCUUAGUUUUUUAUGUUCUUUCGAAUGAAGUAUCACAAGAUAGGGGUUACCAUUUAAAAAAAAAAAGUUGGGGGCCCCCGCGCCCCCCUGAGGGGGGACAAAAAUUUUGACCCCCUUAGAAGAUGGUCCCCUUUAAGAUAGGAACAUUCCCAAAGUUUCGUUUUUCUAUCUUUAACCGUUCAAAAGUUACGAGGGGGGGUACGGACUUUUGGGACACCCUGUAUAAAGCUGCUGUUCCCACUCACUAUGCCCCCCCUAGAGAAAAAUUGGCCGAAGCGAUUUCCUUUAAAAUUGGUACACGCUCAGCUAUUGUAACGAGGAGUUGAUUAAAAUUAUUCCCAUUCAAAUCCGCUGCCUAGGACGCCCGCAAGAGCGAAAAGUUGUUUCUCCCUAUACUAAUGCAUUGGGGAUACGCGGUUGUUUACGCGAACCGCGCUGAACAGGUUCAAUCCUGUUGCGUGACGUCGCAGCCUUCUAGACGAAAUUUAAGGUUUUAGGAGGUACUUUUCGAUGAAUUUUGUGGAAAUCGGUAUCCGAGGGUAUUUUUCAACGGGAAACUCGAAUUUUUCCGUCAGAUUUUCAAAAUUUCAAAAUCCAAGAUGGCGGCCUCACACAAAAAUGCGACCCCGGCUACUGGAACAUCAAUUUCUGUAAAACUUGGUGAAAAAAAAGAUUAAGACAAAGAUGUUGUCUCAUCAUCAUGUUGUUCUCAUCAUGUUAAAAACUAUGCGGGGCGGUGGCGGUUCGCGGAUUUAUCGACGGAUUUAAGUGAAACUUGGUACUCGAGGGUACUUUUCGACGGGAAACUCGAAUUUUUUGUCAGAUUUUCAAAAUUCUAAAAUCCAAGAUGGCGGCCGUGGCCUAAAAUGCCAAGUUUGCUCCUGUUCGAUCGAUUUUCGUGAAACACGGUUAUCGGGGGUACUUUCCGACGAGAAACUCAAAUUUUUUGGUCAGAUUUUCAAAAUUCAAAAAUCCAAGAUGGCGUCCGUGGCUUAAAAUGCUAAGUGAACUCCUGUUCCAUCGAUUUUCGUGAAACUCGGUAAUCGGGGGCACUUUUCAACCAGAAACUCGAAUAUUUGUUCAGAUUUUCAACAUUUCAAAAUCCAAGAUGGCGGCCCCGCACCAAAAUGCGGGCCCGGCUCCUGGGACAUCAAUUUCUUUAAAACUUGGUGAAAAAGAAGAUUAAGACAAAGGUGUUGUCUUCUUACAAUGUUAAAAACUAUGCGGGGCGGUGGCGGCUCGCGGAGCGAGUCGCAAGUUCAUCGCGAAGCGAAGAACUGGGGUCCAGGGGCACUCCCCGGCUAGACGUGUCAGCUUGCAAAGCGAGCUAAUCACGACUAGUUACUCUAUAUAAAGCUGCUGUUCCCACUCACUAUACCCCCCCUAGAGAAAAAUUGGCCAAAGCGAUUUCCUUUAAAAUUGGUACACGCUCAGCUAUUGUAACGAGGAGUUGAUUAAAAUUAUUCCCAUUCAAAUCCGCUGCCUAGGACGCCCGCAAGAGCGAAAAGUUGUUUCUCCCUAUACUAAUGCAUUGGGGAUACGCGGCCUAAAAUGCUUAAUCGGCUCCUGAUCCAUCGAUUUUCGUGAAACUCGGUAUCUAAGGGCAAUUUUCGACGGGAAACUCAAAUUUUCCGUCAAAUUUUCAAAUUUUCAAAAUCCAAGAUGGCGGCCGUGGCCUAAAAUGCUAAGUCGGCUCCUGCUCGCACGAUUUUCGUG